rnacentral:tRNA from 1 species
UGGCUCAGUUAGUAGAGCGUGGCAUUUACGAUGCCAGGGUUGUGGGUUCAACUCCCAC